rnacentral:misc_RNA from 1 species
GAUGAAGAACGCAGCGAAAUGCGAUAAGUAGUGUGAAUUGCAGAAUUCAGUGAAUCAUCGAAUCUUUGAACGCACAUUGCGCCCCUCGGUAUUCCGUGGGGCAUGCCUGCUCGAGCGUCAUUUACCCCUCAAGCACUGCUUGGUGUUGGGCGUCUGUCCCGCUUCGCGCGCGGACUCGCCCCAAAGGUAUUGGCAGCGGUCGUGCCAGCUUCUCGCGCAGCACAUUGCGCUUCUCGAGGCGGUCGAUCGGCGUCCACGAAGCUCACCUCCACCGUUUGACCUCGGAUCAGGUAGGGAUACCCGCUGAACUUAAGCAUAUCAAUAAGCGGAGGA